GCAACAUAUUUUUCUUUCUCUUGUAUGAAUGAAUCACACUUUCAAACAUUUUAGGGAUAACAACCAAAAAAAAUAAAAGUCAAUAGACCAACAAUUUCAAGAAACUAAUCCCUAUAAAUAGAGAUCUCCGCACAACACAAAAUCACAAAUCAAAGCAAAUUUCAAUACAAAUCUAGAAAGAAAAAGAAAAGAGUGUGAUAUAUUACUUUGCUGCAAGGAUGAGUACGGAGUGCGAAGGAAAAAGUUCAUGGCCAGAGCUUGUGGGAAAGGAAGGGAAAGUAGCUGAAGAAACAAUUGAGAGAGAGAAUCCUCUUGUGGAUGCUAUUAUUGUGGACAAAGACGCAGAAGUCACAACCGACUUCCGUUGUGAUAGGGUUUGGGUUCGGGUUAACACUUCUGGAAUUGUCGUGAGUGUUCCUACCAUUGGUUAGGAACUAAUAUAUAUAUAUAUCUAUAUGUUUAUAUAUAUGCCUCAAAAUGCUCGAGGGGAGGCCUUCUCGAUCCUCUAGCAAAUAUAUAUAUAUAUAUAUAUAUGUUUGUUACUGUUUCUGUUUGUACUAUGUAAAAUAAUUCCUGCAAAAGGAAAUAACUAAGAAGAUGAUUGUAUGCAUUAUUUUCCAUUUGUUAUGUCUAUGGAAAGUAAAUAAGAUAUUAUUUCCUCCGUAAA